rnacentral:rRNA from 1 species
GACGUAGGGCGCAAGCGUUGUCCGGAUUUAUUGGGCGUAAAGAGCUCGUAGGCGGCUUGUCACGUCGGUUGUGAAAGCCCGGGGCUUAACCCCGGGUCUGCAGUCGAUACGGGCUAGCUAGAGUGUGGUAGGGGAGAUCGGAAUUCCUGGUGUAGCGGUGAAAUGCGCAGAUAUCGGGAGGAACACCGGUGGCGAAGGCGGAUCUCUGGGCCAUUACUGACGCUGAGGAGCGAAAGCGUGGGGAGCGAACAGG